rnacentral:rRNA from 1 species
GAGUUUGAUCCUGGCUCAGGAUGAACGCUGGCGGCGUGCCUAAUACAUGCAAGUCGAGCGAACGGACGAGAAGCUUGCUUCUCUGAUGUUAGCGGCGGACGGGUGAGUAACACGUGGAUAACCUACCUAUAAGACUGGGAUAACUUCGGGAAACCGGAGCUAAUACCGGAUAAUAUUUUGAACCGCAUGGUUCAAAAGUGAAAGACGGUCUUGCUGUCACUUAUAGAUGGAUCCGCGCUGCAUUAGCUAGUUGGUAAGGUAACGGCUUACCAAGGCAACGAUGCAUAGCCGACCUGAGAGGGUGAUCGGCCACACUGGAACUGAGACACGGUCCAGACUCCUACGGGAGGCAGCAGUAGGGAAUCUUCCGCAAUGGGCGAAAGCCUGACGGAGCAACGCCGCGUGAGUGAUGAAGGUCUUCGGAUCGUAAAACUCUGUUAUUAGGGAAGAACAUAUGUGUAAGUAACUGUGCACAUCUUGACGGUACCUAAUCAGAAAGCCACGGCUAACUACGUGCCAGCAGCCGCGGUAAUACGUAGGUGGCAAGCGUUAUCCGGAAUUAUUGGGCGUAAAGCGCGCGUAGGCGGUUUUUUAAGUCUGAUGUGAAAGCCCACGACUCAACCGUGGAGGGUCAUUGGAAACUGGAAAACUUGAGUGCAGAAGAGGAAAGUGGAAUUCCAUGUGUAGCGGUGAAAUGCGCAGAGAUAUGGAGGAACACCAGUGGCGAAGGCGACUUUCUGGUCUGUAACUGACGCUGAUGUGCGAAAGCGUGGGGAUCAAACAGGAUUAGAUACCCUGGUAGUCCACGCCGUAAACGAUGAGUGCUAAGUGUUAGGGGGUUUCCGCCCCUUAGUGCUGCAGCUAACGCAUUAAGCACUCCGCCUGGGGAGUACGACCGCAAGGUUGAAACUCAAAGGAAUUGACGGGGACCCGCACAAGCGGUGGAGCAUGUGGUUUAAUUCGAAGCAACGCGAAGAACCUUACCAAAUCUUGACAUCCUUUGACAACUCUAGAGAUAGAGCCUUCCCCUUCGGGGGACAAAGUGACAGGUGGUGCAUGGUUGUCGUCAGCUCGUGUCGUGAGAUGUUGGGUUAAGUCCCGCAACGAGCGCAACCCUUAAGCUUAGUUGCCAUCAUUAAGUUGGGCACUCUAAGAUGACUGCCGGUGACAAACCGGAGGAAGGUGGGGAUGACGUCAAAUCAUCAUGCCCCUUAUGAUUUGGGCUACACACGUGCUACAAUGGACAAUACAAAGGGCAGCGAAACCGCGAGGUCAAGCAAAUCCCAUAAAGUUGUUCUCAGUUCGGAUUGUAGUCUGCAACUCGACUACAUGAAGCUGGAAUCGCUAGUAAUCGUAGAUCAGCAUGCUACGGUGAAUACGUUCCCGGGUCUUGUACACACCGCCCGUCACACCACGAGAGUUUGUAACACCCGAAGCCGGUGGAGUAACCUUUUAGGAGCUAGCCGUCGAAGGUGGGACAAAUGAUUGGGGUGAAGUCGUAACAAGGUAGCCGUAUCGGAAGGUGCGGCUGGAUCACC